UACGAAGGGGGCUAGCGUUGCUCGGAAUUACUGGGCGUAAAGGGCGCGUAGGCGGGGAGGUAAGUCGGGUGUGAAAUCCCUCGGCCCAACUGAGGAACUGCGCCCGAGACUGCUUCUCUUGAGUCCCGGAGAGGAAGAUGGAAUUCCCGGUGUAGCGGUGAAAUGUGUAGAGAUCGGGAGGAACACCGGUGGCGAAGGCGGUCUUCUGGACGGUGACUGACGCUGAGGCGCGAAAGCGUGGGGAGCAAACGGG
rnacentral:rRNA from 1 species